AUGCGGGGUAGUGUCCUGCAGAUCUUAU
rnacentral:tRNA from 1 species